GGCUCAGAUUGAACGCUGGCGGCAGGCCUAACACAUGCAAGUCGAGCGGCAGCGAUGGAGAGCUUGCUUCCUGGUGUCGAGCGGCGGACGGGUGAGUAAUGCAUAGGAAUCUGCCCGGUAGUGGGGGAUAACCUGGGGAAACUCAGGCUAAUACCGCAUACGUCCUACGGGAGAAAGCAGGGGAUCUUCGGACCUUGCGCUAUCGGAUGAGCCUAUGUCGGAUUAGCUAGUUGGUGAGGUAACGGCUCACCAAGGCCACGAUCCGUAGCUGGUCUGAGAGGAUGAUCAGCCACAUUGGGACUGAGACACGGCCCGGACUCCUACGGGAGGCAGCAGUGGGGAAUAUUGGACAAUGGGGGCAACCCUGAUCCAGCCAUGCCGCGUGUGUGAAGAAGGCCCUCGGGUUGUAAAGCACUUUCAGUGAGGAAGAACGCCUGGGGGUUAAUACCCUCCAAGAAAGACAUCACUCACAGAAGAAGCACCGGCUAACUCCGUGCCAGCAGCCGCGGUAAUACGGAGGGUGCGAGCGUUAAUCGGAAUUACUGGGCGUAAAGCGCGCGUAGGCGGCUUGAUAAGCCGGUUGUGAAAGCCCCGGGCUCAACCUGGGAACGGCAUCCGGAACUGUCAGGCUAGAGUGCAGGAGAGGAAGGUAGAAUUCCCGGUGUAGCGGUGAAAUGCGUAGAGAUCGGGAGGAAUACCAGUGGCGAAGGCGGCCUUCUGGCCUGACACUGACGCUGAGGUGCGAAAGCGUGGGUAGCAAACAGGAUUAGAUACCCUGGUAGUCCACGCCGUAAACGAUGUCGACUAGCCGUUGGGGUCCUCGAGACCUUUGUGGCGCAGUUAACGCGAUAAGUCGACCGCCUGGGGAGUACGGCCGCAAGGUUAAAACUCAAAUGAAUUGACGGGGGCCCGCACAAGCGGUGGAGCAUGUGGUUUAAUUCGAUGCAACGCGAAGAACCUUAC
rnacentral:rRNA from 1 species